rnacentral:lncRNA from 1 species
AGCAUUUGGUAUGCACUGUAGCCAAUCCUUUGCUUGAACUAUCAAAGAAAAACCAAACAAAUGUAAUUUUACUUGAUCUUCAGUCACGUCAUUCGACUUGCACUUAACAAGUCUCAUAAAAUUUAGCCAAGUGCUCCUAAGGAUAUCUGAUAGCUUUUCCAUUAAAUAGGUUGUCUCUUAUACAUGAAAGCACAUAAUUAUUUAUAUCAAACGUAUCAUGAUCCACAGGUUGAAAACUUAAGGACACUUGUCCUGUAUCAGUUCUCCUGCAGUAAUC